rnacentral:rRNA from 1 species
UGAGGAAUAUUGGUCAAUGGCCGGAAGGCUGAACCAGCCAAGUCGCGUGAGGGAAUAAGGCCCUACGGGUCGUAAACCUCUUUUGUCAGGGAGCAAGGCCGUCCACGAGUGGACGGAAGGAGAGUACCUGAAGAAAAAGCAUCGGCUAACUCCGUGCCAGCAGCCGCGGUAAUACGGAGGAUGCGAGCGUUAUCCGGAUUUAUUGGGUUUAAAGGGUGCGUAGGCGGCCUGCCAAGUCAGCGGUAAAAUUGCGGGGCUCAACCCCGUAGAGCCGUUGAAACUGCCGGGCUCGAGUGGGCGAGA